GGCCUGGCCGGGCGGUCUGCCUAACGGUAUGUACUGUCUGGCUGGGUCUUACCUCUUGGUGAGCUGGCAUGCCCUUCACUGGGUGUGUCAGGGAACCAGGACUUUUACCUUGAGAAAAUUAGAGUGUUCAAAGCAGGCUAAUGCCUGAAUACAUUAGCAUGGAAUAAUAAAAUAGGACGUGUGGUUCUAUUUUGUUGGUUUCUAGAAUCGCCGUA
rnacentral:rRNA from 1 species